AAUACCACCCUUUAAUGUUUGAUGUUCUAACGUGGACCCGUAAUCCGGGUUGCGGACAGUGUCUGGUGGGUAGUUUGACUGGGGCGGUCUCCUCCUAAAGAGUAACGGAGGAGCACGAAGGUUGGCUAAUCCUGGUCGGACAUCAGGAGGUUAGUGCAAUGGCAUAAGCCAGCUUGACUGCGAGCGUGACGGCGCGAGCAGGUGCGAAAGCAGGUCAUAGUGAUCCGGUGGUUCUGAAUGGAAGGGCCAUCGCUCAACGGAUAAAAGGUACUCCGGGGAUAACAGGCUGAUACCGCCCAAGAGUUCAUAUCGACGGCGGUGUUUGGCACCUCGAUGUCGGCUCAUCACAUCCUGGGGCUGAAGUAGGUCCCAAGGGUAUGGCUGUUCGCCAUUUAAAGUGGUACGCGAGCUGGGUUUAGAACGUCGUGAGACAGUUCGGUCCCUAUCUGCCGUGGGCGCUGGAGAACUGAGGGGGGCUGCUCCUAGUACGAGAGGACCGGAGUGGACGCAUCACUGGUGUUCGGGUUGUCAUGCCAAUGGCACUGCCCGGUAGCUAAAUGCGGAAGAGAUAAGUGCUGAAAGCAUCUAAGCACGAAACUUGCCCCGAGAUGAGUUCUCCCU
rnacentral:rRNA from 1 species